AGAAGAGCCCCAGGUUGUACGGAGUCAGCAUCCUUGUCCUGGACACGGCACGUGUAGAGCUGCGUGCGUUCUGAGGAGCGAAUUCAGCAGUGCAGCAUCCUCUCCGAGCUCUAUGAGUUGAUCGGCUUCCACUGCAAGUCCGCCUUCUUCAGGCGGGUGGCCCCCGUGCAGCGCGCGGCCCCCGGCAUCCCAGAGCCUGGCGGGAAGACCUGCUACUGACUCCUCCUGCAGACGCUUCCUGGCUACAUUCUGUCACUGGACCUGCAGGACUUCAGCAAAGUGUAUGAAGAUUUUCCAUCAGACCGUUUGUUCAGCCCUUUCCUGAAUGAGGGAUUGAAUUUUCCACAGGAAAUCUUAUGAAAGAGAGUGACAAGGCACAUGGGUUUCCCAAAAAGCAAUAGUUGAUGUAAUAAACUCUCACAUUGGUGAACUUUUUGAAUACAAGCUGGUUGAAAAUUUUAUCACUAGGUCAUAUGCCACAAAUAUGUCUUAAGA